rnacentral:rRNA from 1 species
GAGUUUGAUCAUGGCUCAGGAUGAACGCUGGCGGCGUGCCUAAUACAUGCAAGUCGAGCGAACAGACGAGGAGCUUGCUCCUCUGACGUUAGCGGCGGACGGGUGAGUAACACGUGGAUAACCUACCUAUAAGACUGGGAUAACUUCGGGAAACCGGAGCUAAUACCGAAUAAUAUAUUGAACCGCAUGGUUCAAUAGUGAAAAACGGUUUUGCUGUCACUUAUAGAUGGAUCCGCGCCGCAUUAGCUAGUUGGUAGGGUAACGGCUUACCAAGGCGACGAUGCGUAGCCGACCUGAGAGGGUGAUCGGCCACACUGGAACUGAGACACGGUCCAGACUCCUACGGGAGGCAGCAGUAGGGAAUCUUCCGCAAUGGGCGAAAGCCUGACGGAGCAACGCCGCGUGAGUGAUGAAGGUCUUCGGAUCGUAAAACUCUGUUAUUAGGGAAGAACAAAUGUGUAAGUAACUAUGCACGUCUUG